CGCUGGCGGCGUGCUUAACACAUGCAAGUCGCACGGGACCCGCAAGGGUUCAGUGGCGGACGGGUGCGUAACACGUGAGGAACAUGGUCCAGUUGGUGGGGGAUACGCCGGCCCAACGGCCGGGUAAUACCGCGUAAGACCCUUGGGGCGCAUGCUCUGGGGGUGAAAGCAGCAAUGCGCCGAUGGAGUGCCUCGCGGCCUAUCAGCUAGUUGGUGAGGUAACGGCUCACCAAGGCGACGACGGGUAGCUGGUCUGAGAGGAUGGCCAGCCACAUUGGGACUGAGACACGGCCCAGACUCCUACGGGAGGCAGCAGUGGGGAAUAUUGCGCAAUGGCCGAAAGGCUGACGCAGCGACGCCCGCGUGUGGGAUGACGGUCUUCGGAUUGUAAACCACUGUCGGGAGGGACGAAUGCGCCGCAAGGCGAGUGACGGUACCUCCAAAGGAAGCACCGGCUAACUCCGUGCCAGCCGCGGC
rnacentral:rRNA from 1 species